AGUGAACGCUGGCGGUAGGCCUAACACAUGCAAGUCGAACGGCAGCACAGUAAGAGCUUGCUCUUACGGGUGGCGAGUGGCGGACGGGUGAGGAAUACAUCGGAAUCUACUUUUUCGUGGGGGAUAACGUAGGGAAACUUACGCUAAUACCGCAUACGACCUACGGGUGAAAGCAGGGGAUCUUCGGACCUUGCGCGAUUGAAUGGGCCGAUGUCGGAUUAGCUAGUUGGCGGGGUAAAGGCCCACCAAGGCGACGAUCCGUAGCUGGUCUGAGAGGAUGACCGGGCACAGUGCGACGGAGAUACGGCCAAGACGGCUACGGGAGGAAGCAGUGGGGAAUAUUGAACAAUGGGCGAAAGCAUGAUACAGCAACGCCGCGUGAGGGAGGACGGCCUUCGGGUUGUAAACAGCUUUCGCCUGCGACGAAGCGAGAGGGACGGUAGCAGGUAAAGAAGCACCGGCCAACUACGUG
rnacentral:rRNA from 1 species